AAGAGCUCAAAUUUUGAAUCUGGCGGUCGGCGAUCGUCCGAGUUGUAAUCUAGAGAAGCGUCUUCUGCGCUGGACCGUGUACAAGUCUCCUGGAAGGGGAGCAUCGCAGAGGGUGACAAUCCCGUCUUCGACACGGACUACCAGGGCUAUGUGAUGCGCUCUCGACGAGUCGAGUUGUUUGGGAAUGCAGCUCAAAUAGGGUGGUAAACUCCAUCUAAAGCUAAAUACGGGCGAGAGACCGAUAGCGAACAAGUACCGUGAGGGAAAGAUGAAAAGAACUUUGGAAAGAGAGUUAAACAGUACGUGAAAUUGCUGGAAGGGAAACGCUUGAAGUCAGUCGCGUCGGCCAGGGAUCAACCUUGCUUUUCGCUGGGCGUACUUCCUGGUCGACGGGUCAGCGUCGAUUUCGAUCGUCGUAGAAGGACGGGAGCGAACGUGGCACUCUCAGGAGUGUGUUAUAGCCUCUCGUAUGGAUGCGACGGUCGGGAUCGAGGAACUCGGCAUGGCCCGCUCGUGCGGGUUCGGGGGUUUCGCCCCACGUAGCAUGCCUAGGACGCUGGCGUAAUGUCUUUAAGCGACCCGUCUUGAAACACGGACCAAGGAGUCUAACAUGCCUGCGAGUGUUCGGGCGGAAAACCCGAGCGCGCAAUGAAAGUGAAAGUCGAGACCUUCGUCGUGGAGGGCACCGACGCCCGGACCCGAGCCUCUGGCAAAGGAUCUGCGGUAGAGCAUGUAUGUUGGGACCCGAAAGAUGGUGAACUAUGCCUGAAUAGGGCGAAGCCAGAGGAAACUCUGGUGGAGGCUCGUAGCGAUUCUGACGUGCC
rnacentral:rRNA from 1 species